UGAUAGAAUACAAAGAUUGCGCCGAUAGGGGUGCAAAAAUUUUUCGUUCUGCGCAUCUACGUCAUAAUAUAAAAGUUGUUGUUGGCGAUCUGUCAAAUCGCAUACAAUUUCGACGAAAAAAAGUAAAUAUAGCAUAAAAUUUAGUUGAAAGACUAAAAUAAAACAAUCUGGUGGCAAUUUAUUGAAUCGAGAAGACGGUAGUGAGUAGGGCGUUCAAAUAAAAAUUGCAUUCUCUGGCCGCCGUUGCGCUGGCAAAUGGAACGAGUAAGAUUUCCAAAUGAAAUUGAAGCCACAGCAAAUAGUGCAUAGCUCCAAGGCUUGGAAACAAAUAUAGAAGCUAUACGAUGCCAGAAAGACUACAGAGAAUCGAAGAGCGCUAACCAGGAAACAGCGUAAAAGGGCCAAUUCGUUGAGCAAGGGCGUGCUCAUAGCAUGGAAAUACAAUGCAAACGGUGCCAAC